GAAGACCUGUCCUUAGUACGAGAGGAUCGAGAUGGCCGUACCUCUGUGGUACCAGAUGUACUGCCAAGGGGAGGGCUGUGUAUCGAUGUACGGAAUGGAUCAGCGCUGAAAGCAACUAAGCGAGACGUCAACUUCAAGAUAAGAUUGCCCAACGCAAGGGUAAGAACCUAGAAAGACUAGCUGGUUGAUAGGUCGAAGGUGUAGGUGCAGAAAUGUAUUUAGCUUAUCGAUAUUAAUAGGUCGAGGACUUGAUCAAU
rnacentral:rRNA from 1 species